UACGGAGGGUGCAAGCGUUGUCCGGAAUCACUGGGCGUAAAGGGCGCGUAGGCGGCUCAUGAAGGCUGUGGUGAAAGUCCGGGGCUCAACCUCGGAUCGGCCGUGGCGACUCGUGGGCUGGAGCACUGUAGAGGCGGGUGGAAUUCCGGGUGUAGCGGUGGAAUGCGUAGAGAUCCGGAAGAACACCAGUGGCGAAGGCGGCCCGCUGGGCAGUGGCUGACGCUGAGGCGUGACAGCGUGGGGAGCAAACAGG
rnacentral:rRNA from 1 species